rnacentral:rRNA from 1 species
UCCUGGCUCAKGACGAACGCUGGCGGCGUGCCUAAUACAUGCAAGUCGAGCGGACCGACGGGAGCUUGCUCCCUUAGGUCAGCGGCGGACGGGUGAGUAACACGUGGGUAACCUGCCUGUAAGACUGGGAUAACUCCGGGAAACCGGGGCUAAUACCGGAUGCUUGAUUGAACCGCAUGGUUCAAUCAUAAAAGGUGGCUUUUAGCUACCACUUACAGAUGGACCCGCGGCGCAUUAGCUAGUUGGUGAGGUAACGGCUCACCAAGGCGACGAUGCGUAGCCGACCUGAGAGGGUGAUCGGCCACACUGGGACUGAGACACGGCCCAGACUCCUACGGGAGGCAGCAGUAGGGAAUCUUCCGCAAUGGACGAAAGUCUGACGGAGCAACGCCGCGUGAGUGAUGAAGGUUUUCGGAUCGUAAAACUCUGUUGUUAGGGAAGAACAAGUACCGUUCGAAUAGGGCGGUACCUUGACGGUACCUAACCAGAAAGCCACGGCUAACUACGUGCCAGCAGCCGCGGUAAUACGUAGGUGGCAAGCGUUGUCCGGAAUUAUUGGGCGUAAAGCGCGCGCAGGCGGUUUCUUAAGUCUGAUGUGAAAGCCCCCGGCUCAACCGGGGAGGGUCAUUGGAAACUGGGGAACUUGAGUGCAGAAGAGGAGAGUGGAAUUCCACGUGUAGCGGUGAAAUGCGUAGAGAUGUGGAGGAACACCAGUGGCGAAGGCGACUCUCUGGUCUGUAACUGACGCUGAGGCGCGAAAGCGUGGGGAGCGAACAGGAUUAGAUACCCUGGUAGUCCACGCCGUAAACGAUGAGUGCUAAGUGUUAGAGGGUUUCCGCCCUUUAGUGCUGCAGCAAACGCUAAGCACUCCGCCUGGGGAGUACGGUCGCAAGACUGAAACUCAAAGGAAUUGACGGGGGCCCGCACAAGCGGUGGAGCAUGUGGUUUAAUUCGAAGCAACGCGAAGAACCUUACCAGGUCUUGACAUCCUCUGACAACCCUAGAGAUAGGGCUUCCCCUUCGGGGGCAGAGUGACAGGUGGUGCAUGGUUGUCGUCAGCUCGUGUCGUGAGAUGUUGGGUUAAGUCCCGCAACGAGCGCAACCCUUGAUCUUAGUUGCCAGCAUUCAGUUGGGCACUCUAAGGUGACUGCCGGUGACAAACCGGAGGAAGGUGGGGAUGACGUCAAAUCAUCAUGCCCCUUAUGACCUGGGCUACACACGUGCUACAAUGGGCAGAACAAAGGGCAGCGAAGCCGCGAGGCUAAGCCAAUCCCACAAAUCUGUUCUCAGUUCGGAUCGCAGUCUGCAACUCGACUGCGUGAAGCUGGAAUCGCUAGUAAUCGCGGAUCAGCAUGCCGCGGUGAAUACGUCCCGGGCCU